GUCUGAGGUAAGACAUCCAAGAAGGAACUGGCCCAUGGAGAAAAGGCAAACACUUUUUGGCCUUUGCUUCCUGAUUCAUAAAUACUCCCCAGGUGAGUAUUACUGAUGUGCUGGAUUAUGAUGCCACCAGAGAGAAAACAUCUACAGAAGAGAGGCCUGAAGAGAACUGACCUUUUACAACUAAUUGAUCCCUGCAAACAAGAUUUGUGCACUGCUGAGAAGGAAUGAAAAGACCAGGCUGUGUGUUCCUAAAACAGAAGACAGGCACGUACCUGCAAAUAUCCCUAACUUCUUUUUCAAGGACUGUUUUUCUCUGCAAAGUUUCCUAGCAAAUUGUUUAAUCAUUUUUCAAUGUCCAACUCUUUGGGUCUCCACUUAAGGUUUUCUUGGCAAAGAUUUUGAAGUGGUUUGCCAUUUCCUUCUCCAGCUCAUUUUACAGAUGAG
rnacentral:lncRNA from 1 species